ACACCAUCAAAGUGCAGACGUUUACUUUCUACAUGAGUUGUUCUUUUUCAGUUUCAUGCUAAGAACAGAUUGUAGCGGUAAAAUAAAAAGGGAUAAAUUUCUUUGUACCAUUUAGAGGACAUUGAAUUCCAAGCAUCACUCCAGUUAUAAGAGGCUCUGCGAAGGUUCGUUUCAAUUCAGGCCUCGCGCUAGUGUUCUUGCUCAGCCAACGUUCUUCGGCCAUUUUUCAGCCUUGGCUUGGAUGGAAGGAACAAUUGGAAGGACUACAGAAGUUAUCCAGCCUGCUGACUAAGAAAUCAGAUCUGAUCCAUCAUACGACUCUUCAAGAGGGCCACUACGCUCUAGGUGGUCAGAGUUCCCUGAUCAAGAUCUACCCCAUCACACCACUCUAAUGAAUCAUUCAUCAAAUAAAACAAUGGGUCUUUAUA